CCUACGGGCGGCAGCAGUGGGGAAUAUUGCACAAUGGGGGGAACCCUGAUGCAGCGACGCCGCGUGAGUGAAGAAGUAUUUCGGUAUGUAAAGCUCUAUCAGCAGGGAAGAAGAGGACGGUACCUGACUAAGAAGCCCCGGCUAACUACGUGCCAGCAGCCGCGGUAAUCCGUAGGGGGCAAGCGUUAUCCGGAUUGACUGGGUGGAAAGGGAGCGUAGACGGCAGGGCAAGUCUGGAGGGAAAGCCCGGGGCCCAACCCCGGGACUGCUUUGGAAACUGCCAUGCUAGAGUGCUGGAGAGGUAAGCGGCAUUCCUCGUGUAGCGGUGAAAUGCGUAGCUCUUAGGAGGCACACCAGUGGCGCAGGCGGCUUACUGGACAGUACCUGACGUUGAGGCUCGAACGCGUGGGGAGCAAACAGGAUUCGCUCCCCUUGUAGUC
rnacentral:rRNA from 1 species